rnacentral:rRNA from 1 species
AUUGAACGCUGGCGGCAGGCUUAACACAUGCAAGUCGAACGAGUGGCGGACGGGUGAGUAAUGCUUGGGAAUCUAGCUUAUGGAGGGGGAUAACUACGGGAAACUGUAGCUAAUACCGCGUACCAUAGGAUGAGCCCAAGUGGGAUUAGGUGGUUGGUGAGGUAAAGGCUCACCAAGCCGACGAGCUCUAGCUGGUCUGAGGGGAUGACCGUCCACACUGGGACUGAGACACGGCCCAGACUCCUACGGGAGGCAGCAGUGGGGAAUAUUGCGCAAGGGAGGCAACCUGACGCAGCCAUGCCGCGUGAGUGAAGAAGGCCUUCGGGUUGUAAAGUUCUUUCGGUAGGGAAGCGUUAACUACAGAAGAAGCACCGGCUAACGCCGUGCCAGCAGCCGCGGUAAUAC